CGCCGCCGGGGCCCUGCCGCCGGCCCCCGCUUCGCCCCGCAGUAAGUCCCCGGGACGCGAUUUCGGGAGCCCGGCCCCCCCCCCCCCCCCCCUCCACACACGGACCCCGGGGUGUCGGGGUCGGCGUCCUCCUGCUGCGCCGCCGCGGCUCGCCGCUCGCCACAGCCAUUUUGUUGUCCGAGCGGCGUGCGGAGGAAGAGGGGGUCCGCGGCGAGCCCCGACAUAACGGCGGGGGGCUUCACCUCACGGCGAGCCGCCUGCGCACGGACGGGCUUUGCGCUCAGUGCUGGGGCUGCGGCACUUCGGUGUCGCUGUUUCGUUGAGGUAACUGGGAAGAAUCAGUCCUCCUGAUUUGACACCUAAAGAAUCAAAGAAAGACCGUUUGCCUGAAUGCAUCAUGCUUCAUUUUUAAACUUGCAUCUUCUGUGAAGUCACACAGGAACUUUUUGGCAAGAAGUGUCUACAUCCAGAGUAGUGUACUGCUUUCCUGCUGCCUUUUGCCUAUUCAUGUGGUGGUAGACUGAGUCAAGUCAUUACUCAGAUAUAGCGUUGCCUCAUGUCACUCACAGGUGGCUCAUUUUUUUCACUCAUAUUUGCUGUCAGAUAAAAUAAG